AUGCUUCAAUGGCACCUACUCCUGAAGGCAGAAUGAGAGCUGCAGGUGAUGAACUCAUGCGUGAGUUUAGUGCUGAUGAUUUUUACUUACAGAAAGUAGAAGUCUUGGGGACAUAUUUGAUCCCCUGUGUAACAGUGCAGGAGUAUAUCCACUCUAACAUCUCUCAGAAAACCAAAGGGAAUGUGCCAAGUAAUGUUAGUCAGCUGUGUUUUUUCAUAAAACUCUCAAUAGUGACAAACAAGUGGGGAAAGUUGAGUGGGGAAUUCAUUUGAACCUCAGAGGUUGGUGCAGAUGAUCACUAAAAGAGCAGAUCUGAGCAGAGAAGACGUGGAAGAGGGAGCACAUCAAGGAAGAGCAUCAAGAGCACAGCAGCGCUUUCCGUAUGUGACAACUGGAAUGUUCCCUCCAGACUACCCCGUGCACAGUCACUCCACACCGCUUUCAGAGCCCAGGCAGCAGAUCAAAUGAUCAAGGAUGCAUAAAUCUUCAGCAGAAGGCAAGGCUGGUACACAAAGGAAAGAUGAACCACUGAUCUCUGGAUAUCUUCUUGUCUUGUCCUGCUGUUGGCUAUUCUCACAAUUUCAGCAGCUUUUUGAGCUUCUUCAGGAAAAUCUCUUCAGGCUUCCGAUAACCACUGAGCCAGAAGCUGACUCAAGCACAACAUUUAGGGAACUGGUAUCAGAUCAGCCCUUCCCAUGAUGAAGCCCCCAGCCAGGUUCUGAGGAACAACUGAUCAAGAUGGAGCUCACAGUUUCCCCUGGCCCAGUGAGGACAACCCCAAAAGAAAUGAAAAAUGGAGCAGCUGCACAGAAUAAUUAUAGGAAUAAUUAAUAAAUAACUUCUUAAAAAUUACUAGCAUUUUAAAGUUAGUUUCUAGAGAGAAGCUGCUGACUCUAAUAUGGCACCCAGAAAGGUUUAUUCCUAUGGAUCCAGAUGUCAAGAGAUGUUUGUAAAACUAAAGUGUCACUUUAAGAAGCU